UACGAACCGUACAAACGUUAUUCGGAAUCACUGGGCUUAAAGGGUGCGUAGGCGGCCAUGUAAGUGAGGUGUGAAAUCCCUCGGCUCAACCGAGGAACUGCGCUUCAUACUGCAUGGCUUGAGGGAGACAGGGGUAAGCGGAACUGAUGGUGGAGCGGUGAAAUGCGUUGGAUAUCAUCAGGAACACCGGUGGCGAAAGCGG
rnacentral:rRNA from 1 species